AUUGAACGCUGGCGGCAGGCCUAACACAUGCAAGUCGAGCGGUAGCACAGAGAGCUUGCUCUCGGGUGACGAGCGGCGGACGGGUGAGUAAUGUCUGGGAAACUGCCUGAUGGAGGGGGAUAACUACUGGAAACGGUAGCUAAUACCGCAUAACGUCGCAAGACCAAAGUGGGGGACCUUCGGGCCUCAUGCCAUCAGAUGUGCCCAGAUGGGAUUAGCUNGUAGGUGNGGUAACGGCUCACCUAGGCGACGAUCCCUAGCUGGUCUGAGAGGAUGACCAGCCACACUGGANCUGAGACACGGUCCAGACUCCUACGGGAGGCAGCAGUGGGGAAUAUUGCACAAUGGGCGCAAGCCUGAUGCAGCCAUGCCGCGUGUGUGAAGAAGGCCUUCGGGUUGUAAAGCACUUUCAGCGGGGAGGAAGGCGGUGAGGUUAAUAACCUCACCGAUUGACGUUACCCGCAGAAGAAGCACCGGCUAACUCCGUGCCAGCAGCCGCGGUAAUACGGAGGGUGCAAGCGUUAAUCGGAAUUACUGGGCGUAAAGCGCACGCAGGCGGUCUGUCAAGUCGGAUGUGAAAUCCCCGGGCUCAACCUGGGAACUGCAUUCGAAACUGGCAGGCUAGAGUCUUGUAGAGGGGGGUAGAAUUCCAGGUGUAGCGGUGAAAUGCGUAGAGAUCUGGAGGAAUACCGGUGGCGAAGGCGGCUCCCUGGACAAAGACUGACGCUCAGGUGCGAAAGCGUGGGGAGCAAACAGGAUUAGAUACCCUGGUAGUCCACGCUGUAAACGAUGUCGAUUUGGAGGUUGUGCCCUUGAGGCGUGGCUUCCGGAGCUAACGCGUUAAAUCGACCGCCUGGGGAGUACGGCCGCAAGGUUAAAACUCAAACGAAUUGACGGGGGCCCGCACAAGCGGUGGAGCAUGUGGUUUAAUUCGAUGCAACGCGAAGAACCUUACCUGGUCUUGACAUCCACAGAACUUUCCAGAGAUGGAUUGGUGCCUUCGGGAACUGUGAGACAGGUGCUGCAUGGCUGUCGUCAGCUCGUGUUGUGAAAUGUUGGGUUAAGUCCCGCAACGAGCGCAACCCUUAUCCUUUGUUGCCAGCGGUUAGGCCGGGAACUCAAAGGAGACUGCCAGUGAUAAACUGGAGGAAGGUGGGGAUGACGUCAAGUCAUCAUGGCCCUUACGACCAGGGCUACACACGUGCUACAAUGGCAUAUACAAAGAGAAGCGACCUCGCGAGAGCAAGCGGACCUCAUAAAGUANGUCGUAGUCCGGAUUGGAGUCUGCAACUCGACUCCAUGAAGUCGGAAUCGCUAGUAAUCGUAGAUCAGAAUGCUACGGUGAAUACGUUCCCGGGCCUUGUACACACCGCCCGUCACACCAUGGGAGUGGGUUGCAAAAGAAGUAGGUAGCUUAACCUUCGGGAGGGCGCUUACCACUUUGUGAUUCAUGACUGGGGUG
rnacentral:rRNA from 1 species